AUUGAACGCUGGCGGCAUGCCUAACACAUGCAAGUCGAACGGAAACGAUGGGAGCUUGCUCCCAGGCGUCGAGUGGCGGACGGGUGAGUAAUACUUAGGAAUCUGCCCAUUAGUGGGGGACAACAUUCGGAAACGGAUGCUAAUACCGCAUACGCCCUACGGGGGAAAGCGGGGGAUCUUCGGACCUCGCGCUAAUGGAUGAGCCUAAGUCGGAUUAGCUUGUUGGUGAGGUAAAAGCUCACCAAGGCGACGAUCCGUAGCUGGUCUGAGAGGACGAUCAGCCACACUGGGACUGAGACACGGCCCAGACUCCUACGGGGAGGCAGCAGUGGGGAAUAUUGGACAAUGGGCGCAAGCCUGAUCCAGCAAUGCCGCGUGUGUGAAGAAGGCCUGCGGGUUGUAAAGCACUUUCAGUAGAGAAGAAAAGCCUACGGUUAAUAACCGUGAGUCUUGACGUAACCUACAGAAGAAGCACCGGCUAACUCCGUGCCAGCC
rnacentral:rRNA from 1 species